CCUACGGGAGGCAGCAGUGGGGAAUAUUGCGCAAUGGGCGAAAGCCUGACGCAGCGACGCCGCGUGAGGGAUGAAGGUCUUCGGAGCGUAAACCUCUGUCAGCAGGGAAGAACGGUCACUGUGCUAAUCAGCAGUGAAUUGACGGUAACUGCAAAGGAAGCAUCGGCUAACUCUGUGCCAGCAGCUGCGGUAAUACGGAGGGUGCGAGCGUUAAUCGGAGUUAUUGGGCGUAAAGGGCUCGUAGGUGGGAUGUGAAGUCAAGGGUGAAAUCCCGGGGCUCAACGUGGGAACUGCCUGUGAUACUGGAAGACUGGAGUGUGUUAGAGGUAGGUGGAAUUCCAGGUGUAGGGGUGAAAUCCGUAGAUAUC
rnacentral:rRNA from 1 species